rnacentral:misc_RNA from 1 species
UUUCCGUAGGUGAACCUGCGGAAGGAUCAUUAUCGAGUCUUUGAAGUGGGUCUUUGAGCUGGCGUGUAUUCGCAAGUGCUCGGGCCCCGCUCCAAAUCCACUCAACACCUGUGCACUUUCGGAGGAUCCGUGGGGCUUCUUUGAAGCCCGUGCGGCCUUCGUCUCUUUAUCACAAACAUUGUAUUAUGGUUUUGUAGAACGCAUUGAAGCUCUUACGGGAGCAUCAAACACACAAUACAACUUUCAACAACGGAUCUCUUGGCUCUCGCAUCGAUGAAGAACGCAGC